CCAGAACCUGUCAGAACCUGCUGGAUUUCACCCCUGGAAUGGAGAUUUCGCAAUAUCCUUCCCCCAGGAGAGGGGAGGGAAUGGGGAUUUUGCAGUAUCCUUCCCCUGCCAUGCCCACCAAGCCACACCCACCACGCCACACCAUGCCCACCAAGUCAUGUCUACAGAACCAGUAGUAAAAAAAAUUGGAUUUCACCACUGUUUUAAGGUGCUGCCCUCUCUCAUCCAUCUCAUCCCCCAGCCAGGGGGUGGGGAAACACGAAACUUUCCUAGAAGGUUUCAUUCAAGCCUAGGAGGUUGAAGGAAGCUGAAUUGCAAAGUAAAAGAGCAGGAGACCAGGAGGUAUAAUCGUUGAGUGAUCUCCUUGGGUGGCCAAGAUCUAAAAGAAGAACGCAAGACUUAGUCUUGCGUAGCACAGAUGGAUCAGCUGCAAAUCUACCUGGUUUGAUUCUCAAGUAUUAAAUACGCUGAGAAGUCUGUACUUGUUGGAUGUAUUUUACCCGCUGACCCAAAUUCCUCAAUCUUCUUGAGUUUUGAAGUUGGCUGCAAGAAAUUUGGGCUGAUGUGCCGAAGACACGGUCCAGUUGCUGAAGGAAGGGAUAUUAUGAAAGGCACAGAGACAUACACACCUGACGCAUGAUAUGUUUGCCGCAUGCCAGAGGCACUUUUCCUGGUCUACACAAAGGCCAAAGGCUACAGAACACGCAGCAUCAGCUAGUUAAAAUCUCCCUGCUCAGCACAGCCGCAAAAGUUCCUGCUUGUCUCAGAAAGCCCGCUUACAAAGGUUUUAUUAUCCUCGCCUUCUCUUUUGCGCGUUCCCGACAUCGGUUUCCUUUCCUAAAACAGCCAAUUCUGCCCGGUUCCCUAUAAUCAUGUUCUGUCAUCGCUUUUUUUUUUUUAAAGAAAGAAAACAAAUCCGAAUGCCACUCAGGGUUUUUGGAAACUGCCAACUCUGAUCUAAAUAGCCGGUCAAGAAUCCUGACCUUUGACCUGGGUAAGUUUUUGCAAAAGCCAUCCGUAUUUUAAUCGAGCCCACGGUCUGUCCGGCACAUUCCUCCAAUUCAGCAAGUUUACACCACAGUCUUAAUAUGCGCCUUACAAAACAUUUUUCCUCUAACAGAGCAUCAAUUCAUGCCCAGGGAUAAGUUUGGCUUAGAGCCCAGGUAUGCCAGUUAUCAACAAAACCGUAAGUGGAGUGGGCCAGGCGUUAUAUUCAGCGUCUCAGACUGCAAGAAAUCAUUUCUCGUUUUCCUUCGUUUUGUCUGCUCUGUUCAUCGAUUUUGCAGAUCAUCUACGAGACGCCCUUUGUGAAUUGUUUAGAGCCCCGAUCCGUUGGACGCUGGCUCCCAGUUGUAGCUGCCUAGGACAGCAUCGUUCAAUUGAAUCAGAGGAUGGUGGGGGAGGGAGCCUUCAACAAACCAUCAUGGGAGGGAGGAGGGAAGAGGAGGAGGAGGAGGAAAAAAGACUGUGUGGUCCUUGGUGCUCUCUGAGUUUGGUUGUUUUCUUGCAGACAUUUCAUGACCCAACUAGAUAACAUCAUCAGUGCUAAUAGGGGAGGAGGAAGAAGAAAAAAGAGUGCGUGGUUCUUGGUGCUUUCUGAGUUUGGUUGUUUUCUUGCAGACAUGAGGAGGAGGAGGAGGAGGAAGAGGAGGAAGAAAAAAGAGUGCGUAGUCCUUGGUGCUCUCUGAGUUUGGUUGUUUUCUUGCAGACAUGAGGAGGAGGAGGAGGAGGAGGAGAAGGAGGA